rnacentral:rRNA from 1 species
CCUACGGGAGGCAGCAGUAGGGAAUCUUCCGCAAUGGACGAAAGUCUGACGGAGCAACGCCGCGUGAGCGAUGAAGGCCUUCGGGUCGUAAAGCUCUGUUGUCAGGGAAGAACAAGUACCGGAGUAACUGCCGGUACCUUGACGGUACCUGACCAGAAAGCCACGGCUAACUACGUGCCAGCAGCCGCGGUAAUACGUAGGUGGCAAGCGUUGUCCGGAAUUAUUGGGCGUAAAGCGCGCGCAGGUGGUUUCUUAAGUCUGAUGUGAAAGCCCACGGCUCAACCGUGGAGGGUCAUUGGAAACUGGGGAACUUGAGUGCAGAAGAGGAUAGUGGAAUUCCAAGUGUAGCGGUGAAAUGCGUAGAGAUUUGGAGGAACACCAGUGGCGAAGGCGACUGUCUGGUCUGUAACUGACACUGAGGCGCGAAAGCGUGGGGAGCAAACAGGAUUAGAUACCCUGGUAGUCCACGCCGUAAACGAUGAGUGCUAAGUGUUAGGGGGUUUCCGCCCCUUAGUGCUGCAGCUAACGCAUUAAGCACUCCGCCUGGGGAGUACGAUCGCAAGAUUGAAACUCAAAGGAAUUGACGG